GUGGCUCUGGUGUUAUAGCCCCAAGCCUUAACUUAAUGAACCCCUCUCUAUUCUAUUCUUUCCUGGAGCCAUAUUCAUCCCACUGGCAUCACAACAUCCAUGACUUCUUAUGGCACUACAAUGUCAGGGAUAGGAUGGCCUGGCAGAAGGCAAUGAGAGAAUUCAGAACCAAACUGGAAUCUCAAAUGUUACCCAUCUCCAGGCAGAAGGAAUCCAAGCGCUCAGAUCAUCUCACGGAAGCCUGCUCAGACCUCUUGAGCACUACCACAUGGCUGUAUCUCAGCUCUUUGGUCUGCCAAGAAGCAAGCCAAUAAGGGGGCCUUUCCUACCAUCAUGAACAACACAUUCUUUCCCUUACCAGUAAAUACCCUGGAUCCCCACACCAAUACCUGCCUACAUUCUGCAAAGAGGAGGGAAUCUGAGGCAACUCUGGGCCAGGUCAAUUCACAGCUCCAUACUUGAACCCUAAAACUACAUUGUUACAACACAAAAGGACAAGCAGACCUUCAAGGCAAAGACCACACUCAAGGCAGAAUCUGCAGGGCCAUCCAAGCAGACAGGCUACAAACCCAUCUCCACAGGAGACUCUACAGGGAGACCAAUGAGGACUUAACCUAGGAGCAAGGACAGGUCACCUCUGGACAUGGAAUUCUAAUAACAAGGACGCUCUAUCACCAAAGUCCUACUGUUGAACCUUCUCCAGACUCCAGUACUAUGACCCCUCCAUUUCCCUUCUGUUCUCAGUCUUCUCUCAUUCUUGCUUCCUUCCCUGCUGGCCUACAUGUAGUGAUUCAUCACCUCAAACGCAAUCUAGCCAAUACUCCCAACGAUCUGUCUCUUUUCUUCUGUCACAACCAAUGGGCAAAACUUUCAACCCUGGAUCAAUCUAACAUCUGCCUGCUGUGCCCCUGACCCCGGCUACUGUACCCUACUGGAGGGAAGGGAGAAAAAUCACAAAACAGCAGGACUGGACCACUGCAAAAUAAUGGUCUCCAUCUUGGCUGGGCCCUUGAUGCUACCCUGAAAAUCUUCUAUCUCCAUCAUUGCUUCAUUCUAUUCUCUACACCUUCCUCAAGUCUACUUGAUCACCACCUCCCUUAUGCUCAGCAGACAAUCAGAAGAGAACUUUCAACUAUCCCUACCCUCUUCCCCUCUCCUCGCUGACAAAAAUAUCUGCAACACACACCUGCCUGUACCCUCUCCUGGACCUCCACCUUGAUGGAAGGGGCUUCCUUUUACCUGUGCUCUGGAGCUCUUCUCAGUCUCCUCUUGUAUAAAUUAUUUCCCCUUUUCCCAAAGCCUUCAAAUUAUUUCUUUCAACUCUCAUCAGCAUUAAAAUGUUUGCAAUCUUCCUGGCCUCACUUACUCUUUCUUUUGCCUUCCUGCCACAAAGACUCCCUAGAGGAAAUGUAGCCUGGGCAGCUAAGGACCUGAACUCCAAAGGAAGACAGAUCUGGAUUCAAAUCUUGGUUCUAACACUUUCUAGCUGCAGGCCUUCUCUAGGCAAGUUAUUUACCCUCUCUAAGCUGCAGUUUCCUCAACUGUAAAAUAGGGAUCAUAAUACCUAUAUAAUUGGGCUGCUGGGAAGGUUAAAUGAGUUAAUACAUGUAAAGUGCUUAGCUCAGUGCCUGGUACCUCCUAUGUGCUCAUGAUGUUGGUCAUACUUAGUAUUUUGUAGCUGCUUCCUUACAACCUAUCUAUUCCUCAAUCCACUAUAAUCUGGCUUCCUUCACCACCACUUCUCUCAAAAUGGC
rnacentral:lncRNA from 1 species